rnacentral:sRNA from 12 species
GUUGAAAUAAGAGUUUAUCGAAUGUGCCUACUAAAGUAGGAACUGUCAGGGACAGUAA